GCUUCUCAGCAUCCAGCCGCCUAGAAGCCACUGGUGCCUAGAGACGCAAGAAGUGACCUUUGGGAGCCAGCCCAGCAGUAGCUGAGACUAGGACACAGUCAUACUGCUUCUGGAAGUGGACUUGGUGGGACAAAUGUCAUUUCGGAACUGAGCUAAGAGAAGGAGGGAUAGAAGAGAGUACCCUGGGGGUCAGGGGGAAGCAUUUGUACUUUUGUUUUUGCUGUAUCUUGGAAAAAGAGUAUGGGGAAAAGAAGCAAGCUCCAUGCCAGUGUUAGCAAAUAAGGAAAAAGUGGGACCUGGGAAUUGCAAGGCAUGACAUUUCUUUCCUCACUGUACCAUCUAUUUUUCUUCCCACCAACCACUGCAGUAUUAUAAUAUAAGCAGACCUCAGAGAUGUUGUCAAUUUGGUUCCAGACCACUGCAAUAAAGUGAAUAUCUCAGUAAA